rnacentral:rRNA from 1 species
UGCGCAGGCGGCUUACUAAGUCAGUGGUGAAAUCUUGCGGCUUAACCGUAAAACUGCCAUUGAUACUGGUAGGCUUGAAUUCAGUUGAGGUUGGCGGAAUGUGUAAUGUAGCGGUGAAAUGCUUAGAUAUUACACAGAACACCGAUUGCGAAGGCAGCUAGCUAAACUGAUAUUGACGCUGAGGCACGAAGGCGUGGGGAGCGAACAGGAUUAGAUACCCUGGUAGUCC